rnacentral:rRNA from 1 species
CCACCCUGAACACGCCCAAUCUCAUCUAGUCUUGGAAGCUAAGCAAGGUUGG